UUCUUUCCUUCGGUCUCGGGAGUCUAAUUGAAUCUUCAGGAUUAUUUUCAGCAUGGGAAAAUGUUGGUAAAAUGCUAGGCUACGUUGAAUCAGGCAAAUGUAUGAAGAGCGUAGAAUCGUAGUUAACCGACGUUUGCUUAAAAAUUACCCACUCGAUAAUUGCGUUACAUGCGAACAGCUGCAGCCAGUUCCUCCAUUUUAGAGACAUCGUGUUAGGAAAGUUGGAGAUGCAUAAAUAUCACUUGUACGUUGUAUGUUACUCGCGACACGAGAAUAAAAUAAUUCUUAACUCGAACGAGGAUAGUGAUUCUUUUUAAAAAAAAAAAAAUAAUAUUUAAAUACAGAUGUUACGUAUUCUUUAUUCUCUAUUAUUACAUUUUACACAAAAUUACAGAAGAGAGCAACAGUUAUGUCUAAUUAAUGAUUUUCAACAAUUUCGUUUUAAAUUUUUAAACGAAACGACGAAAUAAAAUUGCUUGGAAUAAUUUAUUCGAUUGUUUAUCUUUGAAACGAAUCUUGUCGUCGUUCGAUGUUAUAUUAUAACUAAGCGUAAUUUAAAACACGGUGAGAUUUUUUCCGAUAUCGAUAAUUGCAAAUUGGAAACGAGAAAAUUAUCGUCGUUUCAUCCUUACGAUCGAUAAUUUAAUUCCUUUCGAUUCUAAUUUUUCAUUUGUCAAAUAGAAUUUACCUCCCGAUCGAUAAUGCAGGUUAUCGUUACUUUUAAUCAGUAUUACGCGGAAUAUGGAAUAUGAACUUAUUCGCGCUUAAGAGUAAUAACACUGCUAAUAUGUGUAUCUUCAAAAUUUGUUACCCGUGUCUAGUUAUUUUUUCUCGCGGCAACAAAUCCAUCAUGUUUCUUAUUUCACGAAUGAAAAAAUUGAAAGCGAUGUUUCCAACAUUUUAUCAAUUACGAAUUAUCCGAAAGAAAGAAAGAAAGAAAGGAAAAAAGAAAGAAAUGGUCGAUUUCAAAUGAGCACAUUUUUUUCGACAGCCUCGGUCGACAGAACAUUUGUUGGCAUUCAAGGGCCAACGAAACGUGACAAAACAAAUUGCAUCUUCCUCUCUCCUCCGGAAAUGCUUGCAAAAAAAAACCCUAGUUUUCGCUCCUAGUUCUCUAAUACUUCCCCUCGUAUAAUUGUAUGUACUUUGUACGAAAAUGAAUUUUUGUUUCACUCGAAAUAUUUAUUAUUAAUCUAUUAUGGAUAUCAGUUUCCAAUAAUUUGAGGAUCUGGGAUAAUUCGACGAAAAGAGAGAAGAUCUAGACACUGAAUAACAACUCCAAUCAAGUUUUAGUUUUAUUUCUAUGGUGCAAGGAAUGAACUCGUUCUCAAUAAUUAAAUCAAUUAAUAACAUUUAAAGAUCUUGGAUAAUCGAUGAAAAGAUCCAUUUUCUUUGAUCCAAAGAGUGGAAUUGAACACUGAAUAACAACUUCAAUCAAGCUAGUUUUAUUUCUCUAUUUCGAACACUCUGUUAAUAAUUGAACUAACAACAUAAUAAUAAUAGAUCGUAAUUCGACGUAUUAAGAGACGAGUAUAUUUAUCCAAUCAACGAUACAAUUAUCUAUUUCCACAAAUCCAUCCUCACGAUCGACAAGCGCCAUCAAUAAGUGUAGUGGUACGCUUGCUUUACAUUUUUCUCCGUUCGACGCCAUUGGAACGGUAGUGACGAUCACGUGACAACGUAGUCCGUUCCGUUCGACAUCCGUGACAUCGUGCUCCCGCGUCCCACGAAACGUGUAAUUCGAGCGAAGCGGUGAAAAGCUGGAGGAAACAGGGCAGAACGCGCAUGGUAUCCCGGGGGGUUGGCCACGAUAUCGUUGAAAGAAGAAGCCGAUGACAUUCCUUGAGCAAAUAAGGGGGCUAAUAAUAACAUUUAAAGCGUCGCGUGUUCGUAGCUUGGCCGGAAGUCGGCCAUUAUUCAGCUGGCCCGUAUAAUGGCAAUCACGUAAUACAGAGUCUUCGAGAAAAAGAAGAAAAAGAAGAAGAAGAAGAAUUCUUGAACGUUUUUCUUCGACAAAAUUCGAUCGAAUUCUAUCUCGUCGAUUAAUGGAACGGAUUUUUCUUUGAAGGUAAUCCUAGAUUUCUGAAAUAUCGACCCGAUGAUUCGGUUUGAAAAUUUUAUGAAAAUUUAAAAAAAAUAAAUGAUAUUUUUUUAUGUCAUGGAUAAGGUGUCUCUUUGAUAUAAUAGAUGUGAUAUUGUUUACGAAGGGGAAGACGUCGAGAAUUAUAUGACGCACGAACGAAGAUAAAUAAUAUGUUUUUUGUUCUCUGCACGAAAGGAAAGAAAUAAAAAACAGGCAAAUCGGAAUUUUAGAAAAAGAAGAAGAAUUCAAUUCUCGAACGUUUUUUCUGCGAUCCUGCGACAAAAUUUGAUCGAUAUCUCUUUCAUCGAUUAACGAUAGAACGAAUAUUUCUUUAAAGACGAGGUGUCUCUUUUAUACAAUAGAUGUGAUAUUGUUCACGAAGGGAAAAGAUGUUGUCGAGUCAGAAUUACGACGCACGAACGAAGAUAAAUAAUAAUGUUUUUGUUCCCUGCACGAAAGAAAAAAAGUGGAAAAGCAGAAUUUUACACCAGUAGUUGUAUAUUAAAGUUGCAAGAGAGACGGUGGUGGUACGGUGAAUCAAACAAAACCUUCGUUUUAAAUAGCGCAUAAAUCUUAACGCGCUACUCUGUCGAAGAUUUCUACACGAGCGAAUUAUUAAUGAGCCUAUAGAGCGACUUUUAUACCUAGCAACGGAACGAGAAAGAAACUUUUUUCUUAUAAUGCGUGCAAUAAAGAGAAACGGUGACAGCGUUUAUUCUCAACGUUUUCGAUUUUUUUUAGUAAAAUUUGAAACGAAAGACAAUUUUGUAAAAAAAAAAAAGAAAAGAAAGAAAGAAAAAGUGCUUCUUUCGCAUUUGCAACAUCCGUAUACAAUGAUAAUUAAAGAUAACAAUGGGUAGAU